UGGGCUGGUACUUUGGAGGAAGCAGCGAGAGGAGCCCGAGCACUACUGUAGUUCGGCAAGCGAAGCGGACUUGCCUUUAUUUUUUAAGUAUAGUUAACUCUUACCAACUCUUUAUCUAUUCCAACACGGAGCGUUGCACACACAACUCAAUUGUUUCACCGCCGUGGGAUUUAACCGCUGUUAUCAAUCGAGCUAAUUUCACAAGCUAGCAGGCUGGGUAGCUAACUCAGCUAGCAUGCUAACAUAUUAGCUGUAGCCACACGUUACAUUGAAAUUUCCGUCCUCUUCGCUUCCACUCAGAUAUAUAUGGCAAUAUGGCACGUAGGGAAGAAGUUUUUCAAUCAAAAGUACUUCAGAAGCUUUACCCUGCAGCUCCCAAACUGGAGAAGCAACCCAGCCCACCACGCAUUGUAGAUGCCCUAUCCAAAAAAACCUAUGUGAAAAGAAAGGCCUCUCAACAAGACACUGUCAUUGAUACAGGGACACAGAGUGCAGCCACUCCAGGCAGGCGGAUGUACACAGUCCUACCUCCUCCCACAGACUACAAGACAGAUUCAGAGAAAUCUGUCACACUUCCCCAGUUCGAAAGCAUAAAUAGUGCGGAGGACCCAGCUGAAGAGGUCGUCCAUGAUAGCGACAAAGACCAAGAUAAAGAGGAAGAAGAGCAGAAAAGAAAAAGGAGGCGAAGGAAAAGGAAAACAGCCCUCCAUCAAGACUCUGAGAAAGAUGGAGCAGCUCCACUGAGUGAGUCCAGCACAGGUCACACACCUGUAGAUGAGGGAGGUGAGCGCGUUAGCAGGAACAAGAAGAGGAAGCUGAAAAAGAAGCGGCACAAAGAAAAGCUGCUCUCCAUGGGUCUGAUGCCUCGGGCCACUGCCCUGGAGUUCACGUACCGAAAAGAUGGGGAAGAAGAGGAGGAGGAGGAGGAGGAGGAGGGGAGAGCUGUGGAUGUGUCAGACUUCCUCAGGACAACACUGGAAAUCUAUUUGUCAGAUUCCUCCAUGCGUGGAGACAAGCUUCCUCUCCUGUCUGGGACAGUGAAUGACCUUCUGAGCAGCAUAUCCAGCGGAUCCAAGCACACCUCUGUCCUGAAGCAGCUCCACAGUCUCAAGGCCCUUGUUCAACAGCAAGAGGCAAACAAGCUGGAAAUGGCACUGGAGGAGUUCUCCAACACGUCUCCCAUGUCUGCAGAGGAAACCACUGCAGUCAUUGCACUCUUCCAAUACUGGAUCACAGACAUUUUUCCCAUGCAAGGAGACAAGAAGACAGGGUUUUCUACGACACACCCAUGAGACAAAAGACCAUCGCAGCACCAAAAUGUUUUUCAGAGUCCCAAGACUGACUCCGGGCUACAUCAGACUGCUGCAGACCCAGGCCUACCAUAAUGUGUCUGUGACGGCUCCAGUGGAGAGGAGCAUGCCAGGCAUGGCUAUGCUCCUGGGAGCCGUGGGGAUCGGGAUGUGUGGUUACAGCUCCCGGCAGUUGGCCCUCUACCACCGGCCCUCCACCCGUGUCCUGCAGUGGGUUGGCACGCACACUGAUGCCAGCAUGGUGGGCUCAGCAGCCCAUAGGACCCCCUUCCUGGAUGUUCAUCGCCGGGCUGGUGCCUGCCAGGAGAUCCCACCUCCCUCCUUUGUAGGCCAGAAAGUUGCCAUGAAGUAAUAACCUGUAAUGCUAGGGUGGAUGUAGAUCGGCCAACAUGAUAGGUUGAGCUCCAGAUAACUCCACUUAUGCAUGAUUAAGAUUGUAGCUAUGCUGGCCCCGAGUGCGGCCCAUGUGCUCUCUGAAGAUGUGCAAGUGUGGAUAUUUGACUGACCUCAACCUUUAUGUUUGCAGGAAAUUGGAUGUCUUGUAGUAAAAAUGGAUUCUGUAACUAGUGCAACACAUAUAAAGAGUUUAACAGCUACUGGAUUGUGUGAAUUAGUCACUGAUACUAGAGACGUUAUUGCACUGAGAGGGCACGAAGCAAUAUGAAUGAUUGAAUGAGCACGUAAUGAGGCUGGAACUUCCCAAAUACUGUUGCUGAAUGUAGCUUAAAGGAGCUAACAUGUUUAAUUUGGAGACAUUGUGUGUCUUUUUGAGGCCUGGUGUAAAAAGGGACUGACGCUUGGCAGUGCCCCUCUGCACACAGAUGGUUGGCAACUCUCUCUCCGUGCCCCCAGCCCCCCUCCCCUUCCCUCCCCAGGCAGACAGCCACGUGUAAGUGCUUGAGCACCCCAUCCCUGCCCAUGACUUCAAUUGAUUUCCUCUGAGGAGGAGCAGGUGCCAUCCAUCAACAAGCCUUGGCGUUUGCUGGCGCGCUCUGGCGCCGGCUGUCAAUCAAGAGAUGGUGGAGGAAGACACAGGUUGGCUUUGUGGCGGAAUCAGUGACUGGUGCCUCCUGUGUUCGGGAAAGUUAAAUUCUCCAAGGGUUUGGUUGGGGUGGGUAGAGAAUAGCAAAGUGGCAGGGUAUUUUUGUAGAUCGACUACACUUCUUUUAAUAGCAGAAAGUUCCGUGCACUUGAUAUCAAAGCCUGAGUCAUGCGAACAAGGCUUGCACAAAUACACCUUGCCUGAUCAUGAGACCUAAUUUACCUGGCUGAGACUCAGCGGGUGGCAGGCGGGCAAGGUAGCAUAGUGAUUCCUCCUGGAUAAGUCUGUGUCCUCUGCAGGGAUUAACCCAGGUGGAAAAUCAUUCCUGGCACACUUACUCCUUUCCCUAAUCUGGUAUUAGAGACAGGGACCUGUGAGAAGCAGGCGAGCCGUGUGCAUCCCAACUUUUCACCAUUCCCCCUGCAGUGUCCACCGUUCGUCCAACAGCCAUGGAUUCACACAUUAUGGCGUUGCCUUUUGUGUUUAUCAAAAAUGUAGCAGUGAAAAAGGACUUGAGAUUUGGCGAGACACUGAGUGUGGUUGAGAGUGCGUGCUGUGCCUUAUGGAUAGCACAGGGUCGCCCAAUGAAUAUUUGAGUUCUGUGUUUUACAUAUUAUGGUGUCACGGUACCAAGCCAUAAAAGAGAGAGUUUUAUUCCUCCACCAGCAGUCAGACAGGAGGAGGAGGAGGCGGAGGAGGAGGAGGAGGAAGUAGUAUUCUGGAAAGUUGUGAAAAAAGGACGAUGGUGAGAAGGUGGAGUGUCUCUUCACUUAGAGGUCAGCCAGACCUUGUAAUCCACUUUUUCAUAGUUUAAGAGCUGUCCUUGUCCAUCUGCCAAAUUGGACCAGCGGCUAGUUGUGGCAGGUUGGGAGUUUAUAGAGCCCCGAUAGUGGCUCUCCAGAACGCUAGCGCAGUAGGUCACCAACAAAAUGGCUGUAAUCCACUCAGCAGAGAGAGCUAAUGGCUCCAACUGGCAUCAGACAGUUAGUUAACAAACAAUCGGUCGCCUUGCUCUGGACAGAGAGUGACACCAUUAAACAAUUUCAUAAUGGGGUUGUGAUGGCAACAGGAUGCUCUGCGUCACUAUAUACGCCGGUACGGUAAAUUGGGGUUUUUAAAUCAGAUACAUUCAAUAAUGAUAUGCUCUUCACCUUUUCUAAAAUCCAAGCUGGCGUGAACUGCAUUUAUAGUCUUACUCUUCAGGCAUUGCACUUUCAUGGGUGUAAAAUCAAUGUGGGUGGGGGCUGGAGGUUGUGUAAUGCACCUGGCUGGGUUUGAUGGAUUCUCUCUAUAUACUGCAGUGGUGCACAGUGAGCACAGAGCACUGUGGAAACCAAUUGAUCUCAAUCAGAGAGUGAGGGAGAGCUUGUCUCCUAGCUGCAGCAAACUUCCUGUUUCCCUCAGCGUUGUACAGUUUAUGAGGGAGAACUGCCAAGACAGCGUGCUGACAAAAGGAAUAUCUGAAACAUGUUUGCUGUUGGAAGAAAAUACAGGGGAUGUUUGAAAGCACAGUAUUCAUCUGUUAGCUCGUUGCGUGGGUGUCACACGUCAGUGCUCAUUCAUUUCAAUCUGUAAAGGUCUACAAAUUCGACUUCAGCUGUGCUUGUUAAAGAAGAGAUUUGUUCUGUUAGCGGUAUAAUUAAUAUUUAACCAAAAGUUGUUAGAGGAGAUUUAUGAAAUAAAAGCAUUUGGCAAACAUGCUGCUCUGCUGUUGCACUCAGUCACACCUGUGGGAUGGAUUGUAUUUGUACAGUGUUGUGCUUUUUGUA